UACGUAGGAGGCGAGCGUUGCCCGGAAUUACUGGGCGUAAAGAGCGCGUAGGCGGCGCGGUACGACCGCUGUGAAAGCCCCCAGCUCAACUGGGGAGGGUCAGCGGUAACGGCCGUGGUAUGAGUGCAGGAGGGGGAAGUGGAACUCCGGGAGUAGCGGUGAAAUGCGUAGAGACCCGGAGGAACACCAGUGGCGAAGGCGGCUUCCUGGUCUGCGACUGACGCUGUGGCGCGACAGCGUGGGGAGCAAACCGG
rnacentral:rRNA from 1 species